GUACUUGCUUCGGCAGCACAUAUACUAAAAUUGGAACAAUACCGAGAUUAGCACGGCCUCUGCACAAGGAUGACGCCCAAAUUUGAGAAAGAAAUUGAUAUUUU
ensembl:snRNA U6 U6 spliceosomal RNA